GAGUGACUGUGCCGGCCCCGUGACUGGCAGGUGCAUGCCUCCCAGGCCCAGGUGAGCUCUGUUAGGUCGUCAGAGGCGCUGUCCAGCCUCUGAUAGCCGCGUGGAUCCAGUUCUGCCCAGUGUCAGUGCUGAUGCCGGGUGCUCCGCCAUCCAGCACUCUGCCCCAAAGCAGAAUGAUAGGAUAUCCUGGAGUGAUAGAAUCUUCCAGAAUGAAGGAACAUACUGGAUCAUGACUGGCCUGUGUUAUACAGUACAGAUGGUCCCCAACAUCCAUGGGCCCCACAAGAGGUUGAAGAUGCCGAUGCUGCAGCUCAGGAAGACGCCCUGGGGCUGCAGACCCCUCUUUAAAGCAUCUCAAGGUGAGACAGCAGGCAGAGGCUCCGCCGUGAGACAGGCAGGGCGGCCCCAGGGCUGGGGAGGGCGCCAGGCGUUCACAGAGGAGGGCGAUUGCUGAUGUCGGUGAAGGUGGACGUUGCAGUUGCUCAGGUUCCUCUGACUCCACAAGGAGCAUCGUGGGCUGAGUGUCUGUGCCCUCCAGUGUUCUCCCGUUGGAGCCCUGCCCCCACACACCGUGGGGUUGCUGGGACAUAGCGGUGAAUGAGGUCAUUGCACGGACAGAGCCCUGGUCUGCCCACAUUCGAUGGAUGAGGUCAUCGGAUGGACGGAGCCCUGGUCUGCCCACAUUCGAUGGAUGAGGUCAUCGGAUGGAUGGAGCCCUGGUCUGCCCACAUUCGAUGGAUGAGGUCAUCGCAUGGACGGAGCCCUGGUCUGGUCACAUUCGAUGGAUGAGGUCAUUGCACGACAGAGCCCUGGUCUGCCCACAUUCAAUGGAUGAGGUCAUUGCAUGGACAGAACCUUGGUCUAGUCGUAUUCAAUGGAUGAGGUCAUUGUGUGGACAGAAUCCUAGUCUAGGCACAUUCGAUGGAUGAGGUCAUUGCAUGGAUGGAGCCCUGGUCUGCCCACAUUCGAUGGAUGAGGUCAUCGCACGGAUGGAGCCCUGGUCUGGUUGCAUUCGAUGGAUGAGGUCAUUGCAUGGACAGAGUCCUGGUCUACCCACAUUUGAUGGAUGAGGUCAUCGCAUGGACGGAGCCCUGGUCUGCCCACAUUCGAUGGAUGAGGUCAUCGCAUGGAUGGAGCCCUGGUCUAGGCGCAUUCGAUGGAUGAGGUCAUCGCAUGGAUGGAGCCCUGGUCUGCCCACAUUUGAUGGAUGAGGUCAUCGCAUGGACGGAGCCCUGGUCUGCCCACAUUCGUGUCCUUGCAAGGAGAGGAGCAGACCCCAGAGCACCCAGUGCUGCAUGAGGUUGAGGAGGAGGCCUGGAGGGAGAGAAGGCU